ACUUUGGGAGCAGAGGUAGAUGC
rnacentral:snRNA from 1 species